AACGCACAUUGCGCCCCCUGGCAUUCCGGGGGGCAUGCCUGUCCGAGCGUCAUUUCUGCCCUCCAGCCCGGCUGGGUGUUGGGUGUUGUCCCCCCGGGGACACGCCCCAAAGGCAGUGGCGGCGCCGCGUCGGGUCCUCGAGCGUAUGGGGCUUUGUCACCCGCUCGGGACGGACUCGUCGGCGCUGGUCUUCCUCCAGGCGACCCUUCGGGGCCCGUCUACCUUCGGUUGACCUCGGAUCAGGUAGGGUUACCCGCUGAACUUAA
rnacentral:misc_RNA from 1 species